UCGUCGUCCUGGAGGGGAGGGGCAGCCGGGACGGUGGCAAAUCUCCCACCAGGCGCCCUGGGGCCCUGGAGCUCCGGAGGGAGAGAGGGCAGGACUUGAAUGCUGUUGGGUGAGACGAUGUUCGGAGCUGUGGCAGCCAUCUUGCAACCCUGAGGCAGGAAGCUAAGGAAGAAGGCCACCACAGCUGAAGAUGAUAAAUAAGAAAGAGGGAAAGACUCUGGCUCAUUAGCAUCACCGAGCGUCGGACCAACCCCGGAACUGCCUCCUUCCAGAAUCUUCUUAUGCACGAUCAUUACAUGUCUCAGGUGACUGAGGCCUUGUUGUUGGAUUUUCUGUUACAAGGUGCCCAAUGCAUUCUAGUCAAGGGAAGCACCUGCUAUGUGCCCGGCACCACAUCUCUCACAAGAGUCAUGGUCAUUCGACUACACCCCAUCUCUGUCAUCAAACCCUGCGGUCCUAAAGGCAAAGGUUGUAUCUCGUAGGUCUCUGUAACCCCAGACCUUGUUACAGAUCAUGACCCACAGUGAGCCCCAACUCCACAAUGCGAAUAACAUGAACGAAUUCAUGAAUUCAAA